UAGAUUGUUGUAAAAGUGCUUUGUUGGG
rnacentral:piRNA from 1 species